rnacentral:rRNA from 1 species
CCCUUAGAUGUUCUGGGCGGCCCGCGCACUACAAUGGCGCUUUCAGCGAGUUCCUAUGUUGAAUUUUCCUUGGUAUUCUUGGAAGCGGCGUCUUGACUUGGGAUAGAUCCUUGUAAUUGUUGGUUUUGAACGAGGAAUUCCUUGUAAUCGCGGUUGAUCAGCUCGCGUUGAAUACGUCCCUACCCUUUGUACACACCGCCCGUCGCUCCUACCGAUGAAUCGUCCGGUGAAGUUCACAGAGUGGCGGUUCGUGGAGUUGCUCGCGAAGUGAAAUGGACCUCACGAUUUAGAGGAAGGAGAAGUCGUAACA